AUUGAACGCUGGCGGCAUGCCUUACACAUGCAAGUCGAACGGCAGCGGGCCUUCGGGUGCCGGCGAGUGGCGAACGGGUGAGUAAUGCAUCGGAACGUGCCAUUGAGUGGGGGGAUAACGUAGCGAAAGUUACGCUAAUACCGCAUAUUCUGUGAGCAGGAAAGCAGGGGACCGCAAGGCCUUGCGCUCUUUGAGCGGCCGAUGUCAGAUUAGCUAGUUGGUGAGGUAAAGGCUUACCAAGGCGACGAUCUGUAGCGGGUCUGAGAGGAUGAUCCGCCACACUGGAACUGAGACACGGUCCAGACUCCUACGGGAGGCAGCAGUGGGGAAUUUUGGACAAUGGGCGCAAGCCUGAUCCAGCCAUGCCGCGUGAGUGAAGAAGGCCUUCGGGUUGUAAAGG
rnacentral:rRNA from 1 species